AUCUCGGUGGUGUAAAGGUAGCACGCAUCCCCGCUAUGGAUGUAACGCGGGUUCGACUCCGGCCUAAGGUC